ensembl:miRNA
CUUCAUCCACCAGUCCUCCAGGAACAUCAAGGAUCUUAAACUUUGCCAGAACUACAAAGGCAAAGUUUAUGAUCCUUGAAGUUCCUGGGGGAA